UAGAUCAUCCUCAGUGAUCAACAGUGGCA
rnacentral:piRNA from 1 species